AUGGACUACAUGGAUUAUGAAUCAGAGACCACACGAUCUACGUUCAAACGAUUUACCCACGAGCCAUCGCUGUUAUCUCAAAACCACCUUUUCACCAGUAACGAUGCCCACAGCUCUGACAUGGACCUCCGCCUGGGGCCACCAGCCAAACUGCAGGAGCUGCAGGGCUACUUUGGGGCAGAGUUUCUCACCAUGGAGAAGCGAGGGUGGGAGAAAAGCCCACCCUCUAGUCAGGCCAAGCUGCAGAAGCACCCGGACCUGGCCAAGGCCAUUCUGUGGAGAAAAGGCAUGCUGGGGGCCUCUCUGAACCACCCCGACUCUUCAGGGAAAAGGUCAGUGAAGUUUAACAAGGGCUCUACUGCUCUUAGCCAGAUUCCAGAUGAAAACCUGGUGUCUGUCCACUCUGACAGUGAUGGGGAACUGGAAUCCAGAUACUCUUCUGGGUAUUCCUCUGCGGAGCAGGUGAACCAGGACGUGAGCCGGCAGCUGCUCCAGGAUGGGUAUCACCUGGAUGAGAUUCUGGAUAAUGACUUAGACUUAUUCCCCCUAAGCUCAUGGCCUCUUCAGUGUGCUCUUGCUGCUGGUGCUGUCUUGGGGACUCUUCCUCCUGUACCCUGCAGUAG